UUCAAACCCUAAAAAUUCAUCAUCUCCCACACGGGUUAGAGCUACGAUUAACCCCAUAAUUUUGUAUGAAUUGUGUACUCAAUUUCCCUUCCUUGUGCUACUUGAAUUUCGGAGGUUUAUUUUCCCUUUUUCACGAAGAGUGGAGGUUUGAACGAAGAUUGGAGGUUUAAAAUUGAAGGUGUCUAAUCAGGAGGAAGACAUGCCGAACAUGGGUAUUCAUGGUAUUCUGUUCUGUUAGGCAAAGCCUAACCUUAGGCCCUUGUUCCAUACUCCCUUGGCCGUGAUGUCAAACAGAGAGAAAAUCACUUUCCAGUACUUCAAGAAGCUGUUUGCUCAAGUUACAAACCCUCCCAUUGAUCCUAUCAGGGAGAAAAUUGUGUCAUCCAUAGAGUGCAUGAUUGGUCCUGGAGGUGAUCUCACAGAAAUGAGUGAGGAGCAGUGUCAUCGUCUCUCACUGAUGGGGCCUAUUUUAUCCAUUAAAAAGAUUGAAUUAAGAGGUUGGCGUAUCAACGUAAUUCAUAUCACUUAUCCCAAGACCCUGGGCAGGAAAGGCUUGGAGCAAACGUUGGACAGGAUCUGUGCUGAAGCUAGGGAUACAAUAAAGGUUACACAGUUUUGGUGCUUUUUGACAACUUUCGCGCCAAGUGUAGUUGCAGUGAGCUCUCUAUUGCGUGUACGACGAAGAACCCUUUGAUAAUAUCAUCAUAUCACAUUGUCUGGUUCUCCAAUGUGUGCUUCUGAUAUAGUGAUGAUGCUAUUGCUGCACUCCUUGAAAGUUCUGGAGAA